AAAUAUAGGGGUUAAUGCAUGUUAUAAAUUUGAUACAAAGAAUCAAACUCCUAAAACAUACCACACACUAAAAAAAGGAAGAACCUAUCUCAAUCUGACUUGUAUUGAUUCAUCUGACAUAAGGUCAUUGAUGAAUCAAUUAACAUUUAGACAUUAGAGAUUUCAUUGGUGAAUGAGGGAUUGGGGAAGAAUAGGGAUGCAGAUG
rnacentral:lncRNA from 1 species